UUUCGCAAUGCCCGAAAGGGUGACGAAGCGACGCCGCGUGCGGGAAGAAGGCCUUCGGGUUGUAAACCGCUGUCGGGAGUUAAGAAAUGUAAGGAUGUUAAUAGCAUCUUUGCUUGACUAAGGCUCCGGAGGAAGCCACGGCUAACUCUGUGCCAGCAGCCGCGGUAAUACAGAGGCGGCAAGCGUUGUUCGGAAUUAUUGGGCGUAAAGAGCACGUAGGCGGCUGUGUAAGUCGGUUGUGAAAGCCUUCCGCUCAACGGGAGAACGGCAUCCGAUACUGCAUGGCUUGAGUGCGGGAGGGGAGAGUGGAACUUCUGGUGGAGCGGUGAAAUGCGUAGAUAUCAGAAGGAACACCGGCGGCGAAGGCGACUCUCUGGCCCGUAACUGACGCUGAGUGUGCGAAAGCUAGGGGAGCAAACGGGAUUAGAUACCCCGGUAGUCCUAGCCGUAAACGAUGGGCACUAAGUAGAGGGGUUUUA
rnacentral:rRNA from 1 species